rnacentral:lncRNA from 1 species
AAAGCAACUGCUCCGUGGGGGCUGCUGGCUUGAUGCUGGAUGUUGGGCAGCAUUGUGGCUUCUUAGCUAGUGACCAAGUUGAUGCAGGUAGGCUAAGGAGCAGGACAGAGGGAUCCGCGUGGUGCUGCACGCACGGAGAAAUUGUUUGGAAAGUAAGCAAAGAAAUGCCUUUGUGUCCCAGCGAUGCUCAAGUGUGCGUUCCGCCCCCGUGAUGUCCUCUGAGGCAGUUGGUGCCUGUUCUUCUGUCGCUUUUUGCCGUUGGGAAGUCCAGUAAUGCCGUGGAAUCCAAGCUGCGAGGCCUCCAGCACCAACCUUUUGGUUGGUUUCUUGCAUGACUCUGAAAUCUCUCUUGGUGUUGACACAAUUCUUUUUUUAAAGACAAAGGCAUGUUAUGGUAUAUCUCUGUACUUCUAAAAAGGAUUAGAAAGUAGGUCAUGAAAUACAGAUGAAAAAAUUAUGAAAGAAAACAAUAUUAUUUUUCUGGACCAAUAUCUUUUUUCUCUUAAAGUUCAUUUUUUUCUAUUUUAUAUUAAAGAUAAUGGCAAG